rnacentral:rRNA from 1 species
CAGCCGCCGCGGUAAUACAGGGGGUGCAAGCGUUAAUCGGAUUUACUGGGCGUAAAGGGCGCGUAGGUGGUUAUUUAAGUGAGAUGUGAAAGCCCCGGGCUUAACCUGGGAACUGCAUCUUAUACUGGGUAACUGGAGUGCAGUAGAGGGUAGUGGAAUUUCCGGUGUAGCGGUGAAAUGCGUAGAUAUCGGAAGGAACACCAGUGGCGAAGGCGGCUACCUGGACUGAGACUGACACUGAGGCGCGAGAGCGUGGGGAGCAGACGGGAUUAGAUACCCCAGUAGUCCCUGUCUCUUAUAC